rnacentral:rRNA from 1 species
GAUGAACGCUAGCUACAGGCUUAACACAUGCAAGUCGCGGGGCAGCAUGGGGGUUGCUUGCAAUCCCCGAUGGCGACCGGCGCACGGGUGAGUAACGCGUAUCCAACCUGCCCUUCACCACGGGAUAACCCGGCGAAAGUCGGACUAAUACCGUAUGUUGUCCAUUGACGGCAUCCGAUUUGGACGAAAGGCUUGGCGGUGAGGGAUGGGGAUGCGUCCGAUUAGCCAGACGGCGGGGUAACGGCCCACCGUGGCUACGAUCAGUAGGGGUUCUGAGAGGAAGGUCCCCCACACUGGAACUGAGACACGGUCCAGACUCCUACGGGAGGCAGCAGUGAGGAAUAUUGGUCAAUGGGCGUAAGCCUGAACCAGCCAAGUAGCGUGCAGGAUGACGGCCCUAUGGGUUGUAAACUGCUUUUAUGCGGGGAUAAAGUGGCCCACGUGUGGGCUUUUGCAGGUACCGCAUAAAUAAGGACCGGCUAAUUCCGUG